CUCUGUCCUGUGCCAGUGUAGGGAUGUGCCAUGAACACUACAGCACUCAGCUGCUUCCAGCCUGUGGAAUAACUGAUGGAUAACACAAGAGAGGAGUCCCUGGGAGUGGGAUCUCCUCUGCAGGACCAAGAGGCAGAUUUAAACUCCCUGCUGAAUGGUGCUGGCCAGGAAAGCCAUUUGACAGUAUCUACUGCUCAGUAUUCAGCACAUCAGCAAGCCCCAGGUUUUUUUAUUCAUUCUGGAAGAGGAGAAUGACUGUUCCACACUACCCUGUGUUUGCAGCAGAGUCCUGUUGAAACAACCCCAUUCCACACUAAUGCUG
rnacentral:lncRNA from 1 species